UACUUUACUGUUGGCAUGGCACAGGACUGAUGGUAGCGCUCACCUUUUCUUCUCCGGACAAAGGUAAUUUCCGGAUGCCCCAAACAAUCGGAAAGGGUAUUCAUCUGAGAAUAUGAUUCUGCC